UACAGAGGUCUCAAGCGUUGUUCGGAGUCAUUGGGCGUAAAGGGUGCGUAGGUGGCGCGCUAAGUCAGGUGUGAAAUCUCGGGGCUUAACUCCGAAACUGCAUUUGAUACUGGCGUGCUUGAGGACUGGAGAGGAGACUGGAAUUCAUGGUGUAGCAGUGAAAUGCGUAGAGAUCAUGAGGAAGACCAGUGGCGAAGGCGGGUCUCUGGACAGUUCCUGACACUGAGGCACGAAGGCCAGGGGAGCAAACGGG
rnacentral:rRNA from 1 species